AACGGAUCUCUUGGUUCUGGCAUCGAUGAAGAACGCAGCGAAAUGCGAUAAGUAAUGUGAAUUGCAGAAUUCAGUGAAUCAUCGAAUCUUUGAACGCACAUUGCGCCCUCUGGUAUUCCGGAGGGCAUGCCUGUUCGAGCGUCAUUUCA
rnacentral:rRNA from 1 species